GCAACGACAACACGGGUGAGAGGGGGAGUGAGAUAGAGAUUCAGGUCAACCAGCUGGAUAGAGAGUGAGAGUGUGAGAUUUAUGAAUCUGAGAGAGGUUUUGAUCAACAGUUGUGGUUGUUGAUUGACAGAGAAAAAAAGUGCUUCGUUCAAAUACUUGGUCCGCCAUGUAAGUCUCUUUGGCACCGCUUCGUUCUUUCCAGUUUGUUGAGAGAGAGAGAGAGAGGAAGAAAGGAUAGGAGCAGGGUAUUUUGCAUGUUUUCGUUCUUCUAAAGUCUGCUAAAUCCGACUCCUCCUACGCAUAAGAGCAAAACAAACUGUUUUUCUUUAUUCAGACUUUUAGUUGACUUAUCUCUUCACAAUCAAGCCAUAUGCUAGGGAGUUCUUCCAGCUCCGGCGCCGACAAAUCUCCCGAUUCUAAGGAUCCUUGGUGUUUCAAUUUCUAUGCGUACAAGGCCACAUUCAGACAAAGCAUAUAUAGUGCUUUUGGUUUGCUGCUACUGAAUAAUCAACCAAGUUCAGAUCAGUUUUCUAGGGGAAAGCUAAUAGAUGCAUACUGAUUUUUACACAAAGAGAAGGACAUGGAGCGUGGCUUCUCCUGGUCAGGAAAUCCCAUUGGAAAGUAAGACCAUAUGGUUCAUGCACAUAGGAACUUGCCGUUGAAAAUAAAUUGGAUGACUGUUGUGUUGGUCGAGUUGAAGUGAUGUAGAAUCAUAGUGAUUCCAUCUGAAUGUGCAAUCAUUAGAUGUAUAGAGUCAAAAGGAUGAGGAUAGACUACUUCAUAGCUGCAGAGCAACUCAAAGAUAGGAUUGUUUCAUGUGAGAUGCACGGGCAAGGGAUGAAUUACAAGCAAAAAUAUUCUCUGCACAUGCUCACAAAAAAAACUUGGCUGACCAAAACAGAAUUAGCAGGAGGCUACCUGAAACUAAUCAAUUUACAUCUAGAAGAACAAUGGGCCACACUCUGAUUCGUGAAAUCAAAGCAUUUCAGUUGAAUUUCGAGUUAAGAGCUUAAAGAUAAUACACUCUGAUUAUGGAGGCCAAAGAAGAUAAAAGCUCCCAAAUUGAAAUUCACUGAUAGUCUGAGAGAGGAAGAUUUGACUAAAAUCAAAUAGAAAAGGUAUCAAGUGCUCAACAAACCAAGAGAGGCCAACACCUUAUGAAAUGAAUAUCUAAAAGCAUCAAAAGAGCAUUUUACCUGCAACCACUCUUUAGCUGGAGACCGAAACACAAGACACACCUAAAGAAUAGUUUAUCCCUUCCUUGACCAUUCUACUUGGUGUGGAGGUAGUGCAGUAGCUGAUGAUGUCUUUCUACAACUGCAGCAAUUGGAUGUUUACUGAUACACAGAUUUGGAAGCUUAAGAUAUUGCGCUCCAAGGAACUUAAGAAUAACAACAAGCCAAACCGCUAAUUUUCAAGCCAACAUCCAUCAAACAGUUCUCAUUAUUGUCUUUCAUCUAUUCCUUUAUUUGACUAUACAUACCAAGUUUGAUUUGAAGUUAUUGAUUCCAGUCAGAAAUUCGUGUAACAUAUUUUAAUCAUUCUUUAAUGAAGGUGUACAGCAGAAACAUUCCGCUAUGUAAUGUUAUCCCAGUAACAUAUAACAGUAAUUCCCGCAGCAAAGCGCGGGCAAAUAUUACUAGUUAUAACUAUACUAAAACCCAUUCAGCAAAAGGACAAAUAAAAUGAAUAGUUAAUUGACUAUUCUGCCCCUGCCCCUGCCCCUGUUUCGACGACAACCACAACCCCUGGAGCCGGUCCUGCUCAUCUCCGAAAUCAGAGAUUCCACUCUAACUUCUAAUAGGAAAAUGUCAGGCUUCGACACUUGGGUCUGGUUACGGACCCUAUUGGCUGACUUGGAAUGGUCUCUCUAUAAUCCAAAAUAGGUUCUCUUCAUUUCUCUCCUAUAUUCAUUUUCAUCUACAACAUUCUCUCUAGCCUUUGUUUUUUUGGUUGGUCACAAUUGUAGACUGUUGGUUUAGUAUCUAUCAUUCAAAGAAAAUGUGAAUGAUCAAUCAGCACUACAUGCACUCUGACAUUAUUAUGAUCAAAGCUCAUCUAUGUUGUAACCAACUCAUUCAAAAUUGAAUUGCUAAUUAGUAAAGUUUGAAUCUUUCAAAAUUUAUCAAGUACAAGGGUAAUGAAUUAGCCACAACUCUCUAUUUGCCUAAUUUCCAGGUUAUACAGAAACUUUAGACAAAGACAAUGAAAUUGUUGUCCCAGAUGGAUGAUUGUGGCCUCUAUGCAAUUAUAUUCUAAACUCUCCGAUAAGAAUAUUACUUAUGUUUCUCUCUGUGGAGUGUUAUUGUUUCGUUAUGAUUCCAAAAAACCAUGAAAACAUCUUUUGACUCUUCAACUUCUCUGUCUUGAUGAAAAGCACAGGUGCAACUGUAAUUCAACUGUAAUGGAUAUUACAGAAUUGAUGUAAAACGAGUCUUCUGUUUAUGAAAAUUCUUGCUACAACUUUUUUGGAGUAUGUAAAUUUGCUCCAAUUUGUGGUGAAAUUGUAUGGCUCCAAUAAGGGAAGCUAAUUUGGUCAAGUAGGUUUUCUAAUUUCUGGGAUUGGUCUGGAUCUUGGGUUAAAAUUUGUUUUGUAUCUAAUAUCUAUAAAUGCAGUACUAUUAAACUGAACUAUUUCAAUGAUAAACCCGCAGCAUCGCGCGGGCUUGUUUGUUCCUAGUUGUGACUAAAGCUCCAACCCAAGCGGCACGGACAUCCAAAAUCCUUAGAUUGGUCAAAUUUCCUAUUUCUCUCGACAAUUCCCCCCAGGAUAUUCCCUCAUACUAAGAAUUUCAAGCUUCUUCAGUUUUCCCACUAUAGAAAUGUCGAUCAAUUCCUGGCAAAAAUCUAAAUUCAAAGCUUGGAGGUUGGUAAGGUGACUGAAUGAUUUGUGUAGAGAGGAAAUACCAGUGUUGCUAAGAUAUUAAUUCAUUCAGACUUUGGAUAAACUUUUCUGGGAUCUUGUUUAAAUCAUCAUUCUUGUUUAGUAAUAAAAUCUGGAGAUUUGGACAUACCAACACUUCGGGUAGCUUGCGAAUUUUGUUCAUCAUUAGUGAAAUAGCAGUGCAGCCUUCAUGUAAUCCGCGUGGCCGCCAAUCCUCUAAACCACAGCCAGCUUUUACCAGAAACCCAUGCCCAUCUUUAGAUUUUGCAAUAUUCAGGGCUGUAUCCCGUAUGACGUCAUGCAUCUUUACACAUCCAUUUUUCUCACUAUCCAAAAGCAAGCUAGAAUCUUUGAGGUACUUGACCACUGAAUCUGCUGUUCCUCUGGCUUCGUACGUCCAUUGUUUCGGCAUCUCGAAACAAUCCCGUCUCGAUUGCAUGCUUGAAUAAGUAUUCUAGUCGGAUGUCAGUCUUCUGGAUAUAGGCAACAGAGCAAGAAGCAUGACUUGGAAUCCUCAUCUUUCGCCGAAUCACUGUUCCUCGCACUGUUCAUUACUGUUCCUAGACACUGUUCAUUCCGAAUUGGCGGUUUUGCCCUUUGCUUUUGUUUCAAUUUCCAUUGCAGGAUGCACUUUUCCCGAUUGCUGCUCCUGAGACCUUCUAUUUGCUUUGGUGUAGAGAGAGAGAGAGAGGGAGAGAGACUGAGAAAGGAAAAAAGGAGUGAUCAAUCUAGAUUCUGAAAGAAGGAGAAGUGGGAUCUGAUUCUGGGUUUGUUUUCGGUUGCUUCUGAGACCUUCUAUUUGUUUUGGUGUAGAGAGAGAGAGAGAGAGAGAGAGGGAGAGAGACUGUGAAAAGAAAAAAGGAGUGAUCGAUCUAGAUUUAGAAAGAAGGAGAAGACGGAUCUGAUUCUGGGUUUGUUUUGUGUUACUCCGGGGAAUUUGAAGUUUAGUGAUCGUGUUGGAAGGAAGUGUGAAAGGAGAAGAGGUAAUCGUCCAGUUCCGGAGGAAGGUUGAAAAAGAGUGGGAGCGUUUCUCAGUUCGUGUAUAGGCGAGGAAAUCCAAAUUCAAAUCACAACCAUUAACAAGGUGUGUGCUUAAUCUAGAGGUUGUACAUAUUGAAGCAGCUAUUUCUUUGUUCAUUUCUAGGUUCCGAGGUUUGAAGCUGAGCAUUUGGGAACAACAGGAGGGAGAGUGAGUGCUUAUUGAAAGUGUUGCUUUUGCAGCGUUACAUAUUAGCAUAUAGAGAACUUGGACAACAACUUCGAUUUCAGCUGUUACUUGCUAUGUAGAAUCAUUUUUGUUGAUCUCGCAGCAUCGCGCGAGGGGGAUUAUCUAGUAAUUUACUAUAUACUAAAUCUCCUAUACUGUUCAUUUCACUGUUCAUACCAGCAGUGGAAUGACGGUUUUGCCCUCGGGCUGUAUGUGGAGAGAAAAAGGCCCGAGUUUUCUGUUGUGUUCUAGAAGCCUACAUCGAGUCCACUUUUAGUGUGUUCGGGAAACCUCCAUUGAGUGCCGUCAUCAAGGUCUCAGAUUGUUUUCUCGACUCAGAGAGAAAGAGAGAGAGAGCGAAGAAUCAAAUCGUAGCUUUCGGACAAACUUUCACUUCUAAAAUCGUAACUCAGGCGAGUAGAAGAAAGAAGAACAAGAAUGAACGAGCUUGAAGUUCUUCGCUGAUUGGGGAAGAAGGUAGAUAACUCGGAGAAAAGGAAGAGGGGGACGGGAAGCUGUCACUGUUUCGUUUUGAUUCUGCGAUGUCUUUCUUUCUUUACUCCGCUGAAAGAAAGCGAGACAGAGAGAAACCUGUUUCCGGUCCUGGAACAACAGAUAUUCGUUUUGCUCAGGGGAGGAUGAGUGCAGUAUCGAAACAAAUUGACUGAGGCUGUGCAUAUUGAAGUGGGAGAGGUUUGAAGUGGAAGCAAAGAAAAGAGACCGUAGUUGUAGGAAAAAGAACAGGAAAGAUCGCUGCUAGAAGAAGAGGUAUGAGUUUGCAAGGAAGAGGUAUGAGUUUGCAAGGAAGCUUUCAAUAGAAGAAGAGAUGACAAGAAGAAGAAGCAGAAGAGAAUUCAAGCAUCGUUAACAACACCACUGGUUUCUACUCUCAGGAGAGCAUCAAGAACAUCAAGAAAAAUUUUGAUUGCGCCCUCGGGUUUGAAGAAAAGGAGAAGCUUGAAUCUGCCAAUCAAGGUCAAUACUAUCAGGAUAAAUUCUCUUUGGAAACUGAAGAUUGUUAUAGCGGUUAGAGUGAAGGUUCAGCUCAGUAACCGUUAAGUUAGGACGAAAGAGUCUAAAGUUCUAGACUGUGUUGUCGUCUAAGGCUGCUGUGUUGUAUAACAGUUGGGACUUGAAAGUUGUGUAUAUUCAAGAAGUUGGGCCCAGAGGCAGAAGUUUGGGAGUUUAAGGAUUCUGCUCCAAGAUACUUUUCACGAAGUGAAGAGCAAACGUGAAAGAAGAAAAGAAAACAAAGCUUUGACUAUGGAAUUGUUGGCUGUGGCAUAUUCGUCCCUUCCAGCCAAAAUGGAGGAGAUUAUAUAUAGGCUGGUCUUGCUGGAAUUUUCAGCCACACAGAAGUAUUCUCUUGCAUCUAAUUCAACUUGCAAUGUGGAAGAGGCUGGUGAUCCGUAAGGCAGAAAUGGAGGAAUGUUUAGAUUUGAUAAUGGAAGAAUUAGAGAGAGAAAUAUAACUAAUGCAUGCACCCUUAUCAGUGAAGUUGAUCCCAUAGUAGCAUCCUUCUCUGGAGGAGCAAUUGGAGUGAUCUUAGCACUGACGGUGGUUGAGAAAGGGAUAAAUACAUGGCCUAAUGCAAGUCCUGUGCAUGUAUGGAGUGAGUUGAUAUCCGAUAUUGAAUUUUUUUUUCCCAAAGGGCAACAAGGAUGGUGAAGAGUAUGGUCGAGGCUGAGACUUAAAAGAUUUCGUAAAUUUCAUCAAUGAGAAAUGUGGGACUAGCAGAGAUGCUAAAGGACAACUUACUUCCAAAGCUGGAAUAGUCCCAAGUUUGGAGAGUUGGUGAAAAAGUUUGUGAACCAGCUUUUAUGAUAUGUAAAACGAUAGCAUAUUCAGCAAACAUUCUAAGAUUGUGAUUACUACUCCUAUCGCCUAUAAAAAACACAAACCCGCAGCAUCGCGCGGGCGAAUUUUCUAGUCAUAGCUAAAUUUUAUACAUUUGAAGGCAUCUUCCUCAUCCUCAACGGUUGCAGAUUGCGACUUCUCUGGUCUUCGAGCUGCUUUUUGCCAUUCCGCCUCAUCUUUAUCACCGAGUGCCCUUGCAACUGCUAUCAAUGCAAUGGGUAGACCCCUGCAUUCUCCAGCUACCUUCCUCGCGACACCCUCAAAAGUCGAUUCAGUGGACCAGCUAUACUGCUACUUUGCAGCCGGACAUUAGAAAUGGUUCUUUGGAGUCCUUGCGAACAAUCUUGGACUCGCCAGUCAUGCUAGACUCAUCAAUUGAAAGCGAAUCGAAUGACCAGUGAUUAAAAAUUUAAAACCCCAUCAGCAGGAACCUGAUCACCAAUGUUAAGGGGUAUAACAUCACCUACAACAAGAUCAUAAAUUGAAACCUCAACACGUCUACCACCUCUGAUAACCUCAAUUUGUAUAUUUCUCUUUUCCUCAUCUAGAUUCUGGAACUGCAGAGAUUGUUUGUAGUCACUAAUGGCUGUCACGACAAUGACUAGGAGAACUGCAAAAGCAAUGCUGCCCCCAACAUAUCAUCCCUCCUUUAUACCCUCUGUUUCUUCUCCUUCUUCCUCAACUAU